ensembl:lncRNA
UAUACAUGUUACUAAUCAUCAUGCAUUCUGCAUGAACCCUCUGUAUGUAAUGUUUGAUAUGUCAACUAUCUGUUCUGAUUGCAUCAUUGAUAAAGCUUUUCUCUUACUCCAUAAAGGUGAGUACAGAUAUAAGUGAGUAACUUUACUCAUAUAAAUUACUUUAUGCUGUAUAUGGAUAGAUGGAUGCCACUUUUUCUGCAUUUCUAUCUUAGCUGUCACAGGAUGAUAUUGUUUGGGUGCUGUAUAAAAUGAUUUGGAAAAUCAGAUCUUACUAAGCUUAAAAUAAAGGGAGAGAUCUACAACAAAGAGUGAGAAAAUGAUGUGUGUUGCAUACAAAAAAAGCAGUGAUCUUAACAAUUCUAUGGCUUCCUGGUUGGGAGACCAGUCUGAGCCAGACGCAUAUAUUAAAGGCUGUCUGCCGCCGAUGUGAGCUUGCUCAAUGCGGUGGAAAUGAGGAAUCACCUCUUCUCUGACACCAGCUUAUUUUUACAUUUUAAUUUUGAAAUAGCAAAUCACUGUUUUACAUAAACAUACUAACCCCUGCUUGAUUCUUUGCCUUUUUCACAUUGUUUGCUAUUUACUGUCAACUUCCAGCUCUGUUUUUUUUUUUAAGUAUCAUCUCUCACCUUAAACAUCUAUCAAAUACCAAUGACGUAUUAAUUUUUCUUUUGUCUCUUUUACAUUGCUCUGUUAAUAUUGUGAUACUCAUGCUUUUAACUUUUAAUCUCUGUAAGGAAAACAGCAAUUUUUCAAAACUGACAUUUUUUAAAGCCUUUUAGGAUCCAUCAAGGAAGCCACUUCUGGAAUUUUGCCAAAUCUAAAUAUGAUUAUAUUUCAUUUUUGGGUUCAUGGGGUCAAUAUCUUUCUGAGUAUAAAAGUCCUUAACACUUUAGUGUGCCAGUAAAGCUGCAGUAGAGGUGCAGAGAUUAAGCUACAUUAAUAACGUCUAGAAGAGGUAUAGGUGUCUCAGGGGAAUUAUAAUGCAGGUUAAUUACUAAUGAAAUUACAAGUGGUGGAUACUGCCUUAAAUUCCUUAAACUCAAAUGGACAUACUAGUACAUGUGCCCAGACUUAGUCUAAUUCGCCUGGUGAAUAUUUAAAAGGUUUUGCAUGUUGUUGUGUUUAGAUGAGUUUCUAGAAAAGCAGUAUGUAAAGGGUUAGCUAAUGCCCAAAUAUUCUUGCCAUUUACACAUGCAGUGCAGCCUACGUUUCGGUAGGCAGUGAGUGCAGGCAUCAUUUUGAUUACUUGGGAUUCUUUUGUUUAAUUUCUCACUAGACAUUUAACUUAGCACUGAAAUCCCACUGAUCCCUUAGUGACUGUAUUUAUAAAAGGAAAACAAAGUUCCUAAUAUAGAGAAGUUUUCAAAAAUCCUGAACAUUUGUAAGCUUUUGAAAAAUAGGCUUUUUACUACAAUGCUGCAAAUACAUAGUAUGUGGAAACUAAGGCACUAACACUGUCAUCUCCACAUUUAGUUUUUUAUCUCUAAGUGACCAACUACACUCUGAGACAUUAUAUGUAUGUAUAUUAAUAGACAUUAGCAUAUAUACUAAAUACACGCUUUAAUAUAUAAAUAUGUGUUAAUAUACAUAUUUAUAUAUUCAAAGAUAUCUUAAUUUUUCAAACCUUUGGUAAAAAUAGUAUGAAAAUUGAGAAUAUUUCAUAUAACUCUCCACAAUAUUUCUUCAAUGUGUUAGCUUUGAUUUUCAUUGAAUGUUGCUCUCUUCCUAGCUUUAUCAGAUAGAGUGCAUUACUAGCCAAUAAUAUUAAGUUGUAUGUAGUCUCGUACUUGUAGCAGUUUGAAAGCAGGUGGAACUUGAAGGUAAUUGAGAUUAAGUGAAUUUAAGAUAAAAUAGGUUUAUAUAAUCAGCUAAUGCCAUGCAUAUUUUAUAAAGAGUUUCAAAGUGAAAAAUUUUCAUAUGGUGAAAUAAUUUUUUCAUUGUAUCUGAUGUAAGAAAUAUGGUUUUAAGUGUGUUACCUUAAUAAUUAUUCCUAAACAAAACUGUGCAAAAUAAUCAUGGACUAUAUCUGUUAGGUCAACCAAAUGAGAGUAAUAAUUCCUAGAUUUCAUCGUGGCCUUUUGGGUUUCUGGGGCAUUUUAGGUCUUUGAUGUAAAGUGGACUUAACCAUUUCACUUUUCUAAGAAGUUUCUUCCUCUCUUCUGGUAGGUGUCUGACGAUUUGUGAACCCCAGAUAACUAUUCUGUGGAGCCAUCUUUCCUUGCCUUUGAAUUAGCUUUCUCUAGGCCAAGAAUCAACAUCAAUAUUUUAUACAGCCAAAUUGAGUGUGCUCUAGUGAGGUCUGCCAAGUGUACUGAUGAAAAUCACCCAAAUGUAUACAUGAGACAAAGAGAUGAUGUAAUAAUGGAAAUGCUCUUCCUACUUUGGAAGAAAAGAAGCUCAACUUGUAUGUUCUGUCUAGUUCAUUCCCUUCCAUUCACUUUUGUGAUAUAUUUUUAAAUCAAUGUAACAAAGUAAUUCUGAAAGAGUAAAUUGCUGACAAAUAAUAUGACUGUGUUGUUAAAAAUGAUUUUAAAAAUGAUACCUAUCUUAUCUCUUAC